GAUGAACGCUGGCGGCGUGCCUAAUACAUGCAAGUCGAGCGAACAGACGAGGAGCUUGCUCCUCUGACGUUAGCGGCGGACGGGUGAGUAACACGUGGAUAACCUACCUAUAAGACUGGGAUAACUUCGGGAAACCGGAGCUAAUACCGGAUAAUAUAUUGAACCGCAUGGUUCAAUAGUGAAAGACGGUUUUGCUGUCACUUAUAGAUGGAUCCGCGCCGCAUUAACUAGUUGGUAAGGUAACGGCUUACCAAGGCAACGAUGCGUAGCCGACCUGAGAGGGUGAUCGGCCACACUGGAACUGAGACACGGUCCAGACUCCUACGGGAGGCAGCAGUAGGGAAUCUUCCGCAAUGGGCGAAGGCCUGACGGAGCAACGCCGCGUGAGUGAUGAAGGUCUUCGGAUCGUAAAACUCUGUUAUUAGGGAAGAACAAAUGUGUAAGUAACUAUGCACGUCUUGACGGUACCUAAUCAGAAAGCCACGGCUAACUACGUG
rnacentral:rRNA from 1 species